GAGUUCGUGAAGAAUGGGUAUUAAAUCUUUAGAUGUUCAGUGGAAUUCAUUCAUGAAGACAUCUGAGACUGCACUUUUCUUUCCCUGGCACCAGAGAGAUGAGAGGAGAAACCUGACAAUAUCCCCAGCCUGAGCCAUCACCAGACUCCAUCCUCCUGAGUGCCCCUGAACCAGCAUCACCGCUGAACACUCUGGAAGACCUACAGAAACUGAGAGAAGGUUCUGCAAAGAGCUGUAAGGAUGCACUGAAUAUUUGCCGUUGCGGAUGAGGCUGCUGGAGCAUUGGAGAUCCAUUCAUCAUGCCAAAGUGUAGCUCAGGGAGUCACCUCCAUGGAAAAUGUGUGCUUUCCAAACGUGGCUACCAGGUCGUUGUGGAAUUCCAUCCAGAAGCACCUUGUUCUUCCAUCGCCAUCAUUCUGGACAAGGCAGAAUCCACAUUCCCCAUAUUACUAACUUUAAAGCAGAAAUGUUACGCCUUUGCCUGUAAUUGAAAUUGUAGUCAUUUGAAAAUCAAAUAUUGCUAAAAUUUGAUGUUAGAGGGAUAGAUGAUCAAUAAUUGGGUUGAAAGAAUACUGUCUCUCAUUAAGCAAAAUGAAAAUGUUUUCAGAGAUUUGUGAAAUGUUUUGCUAUGAAGACUUUUCACUGCAAAGCACCCACUUUGUUUAAAGCAAUAAGGCAACGUGCUGGAUGAACGUAAAGAAGUUUUCAACACAGAACUUCACAAUAAAAAUGGUAAGAAAUGCACACAAA